rnacentral:sRNA from 1 species
AUGGAAAAACAUGAUAACUGGGAUUUAACUCAACUGAAGGUAAGAGUACCCUGUCUGGCCCACACAAUCUGACUUCUUACCUUAGUCCCAUAUUGACCCAGGAAUGUGCCCCUUGAAUGAGGAAAACAUGGCUAUUUGAGAGCAAUGCCAGUGAGAUUAUGCAUGCGUUUCUAAAAUACAGAAGCAAAGCCCCCUAAAAACACCAACUUUAGGUGCCAGAAGAAGCUGUAGGGGUUGUGGGGAUGAAUAGGGAAGAAAGCGAGGAAUCAUUGAGACAAUGUCUUCACUACUCCCUCUUUGUUGUAAGGUGAUACAGUUGGGCACCUUAGUGGAUAACCUGACUGUCGAUCCUGCCACAGGAGACAUUUUGGCAGGAUGCCAUCCUAAUCCUAUGAAGCUACUGAACUAUAACCCUGAGGACCCUCCAGGAUCAGAAGUACUUCGCAUCCAGAAUGUUUUGUCUGAGAAGCCCAGGGUGAGCACCGUGUAUGCCAACAAUGGCUCUGUGCUUCAGGGCACCUCUGUGGCUUCUGUGUACCAUGGGAAAAUUCUCAUAGGCACCGUAUUUCACAAAACUCUGU